UGGCUCAGAGUGAACGCUGGCGGUAGGCCUAACACAUGCAAGUCGAACGGCAGCACAGUAAGAGCUUGCUCUUACGGGUGGCGAGUGGCGGACGGGUGAGGAAUACAUCGGAAUCUACUUUUUCGUGGGGGAUAACGUAGGGAAACUUACGCUAAUACCGCAUACGACCUACGGGUGAAAGCAGGGGACCUUCGGGCCUUGCGCGAUUGAAUGAGCCGAUGUCGGAUUAGCUAGUUGGCGGGGUAAAGGCCCACCAAGGCGACGAUCCGUAGCUGGUCUGAGAGGAUGAUCAGCCACACUGGAACUGAGACACGGUCCAGACUCCUACGGGAGGCAGCAGUGGGGAAUAUUGGACAAUGGGCGCAAGCCUGAUCCAGCCAUACCGCGUGGGUGAAGAAGGCCUUCGGGUUGUAAAGCCCUUUUGUUGGGAAAGAAAUCCAGCCGGCUAAUACCUGGUUGGGAUGACGGUACCCAAAGAAUAAGCACCGGCUAACUUCGUGCCAGCAGCCGCGGUAAUACGAAGGGUGCAAGCGUUACUCGGAAUUACUGGGCGUAAAGCGUGCGUAGGUGGUUGUUUAAGUCUGUUGUGAAAGCCCUGGGCUCAACCUGGGAACUGCAGUGGAAACUGGACGACUAGAGUGUGGUAGAGGGUAGCGGAAUUCCUGGUGUAGCAGUGAAAUGCGUAGAGAUCAGGAGGAACAUCCAUGGCGAAGGCAGCUACCUGGACCAA
rnacentral:rRNA from 1 species